rnacentral:rRNA from 1 species
AGAGUUUGAUCAUGGCUCAGAACGAACGCUGGCGGCAGGCCUAACACAUGCAAGUCGAGCGCACCCUUCGGGGCGAGCGGCGGACGGGUUAGUAACGCGUGGGAAUAUACCCUUCACUACGGAAUAGCCUCGGGAAACUGAGAGUAAUACCGUAUACGCCCUUCGGGGGAAAGAUUUAUCGGUGAUGGAUUAGCCCGCGUCUGAUUAGAUAGUUGGUGGGGUAAUGGCCUACCAAGUCUACGAUCAGUAGCUGGUUUUAGAGGAUGAUCAGCAACACUGGGACUGAGACACGGCCCAGACUCCUACGGGAGGCAGCAGUGGGGAAUCUUAGACAAUGGGCGAAAGCCUGAUCUAGCCAUGCCGCGUGUGUGAUGAAGGCCUUAGGGUCGUAAAGCACUUUCGCCAGGGAUGAUAAUGACAGUACCUGGUAAAGAAACCCCGGCUAACUCCGUGCCAGCAGCCGCGGUAAUACGGAGGGGGUUAGCGUUGUUCGGAAUUACUGGGCGUAAAGCGCACGUAGGCGGAUCAGAAAGUUGGGGGUGAAAUCCCAGGGCUCAACCCUGGAACUGCCCUCAAAACUCCUGGUCUUGAGUUCGAGAGAGGUGAGUGGAAUUCCAAGUGUAGAGGUGAAAUUCGUAGAUAUUUGGAGGAACACCAGUGGCGAAGGCGGCUCACUGGCUCGAUACUGACGCUGAGGUGCGAAAGUGUGGGGAGCAAACAGGAUUAGAUACCCUGGUAGUCC